GACGAACGCUGGCGGCGUGCUUAACACAUGCAAGUCGAACGGAAAGGCCCUGCUUUUGUGGGGUGCUCGAGUGGCGAACGGGUGAGUAACACGUGAGUAACCUGCCCUUGACUUUGGGAUAACUUCAGGAAACUGGGGCUAAUACCGGAUAGGAGCUCCUGCUUCAUGGUGGGGGUUGGAAAGUUUCGGCGGUUGGGGAUGGACUCGCGGCUUAUCAGCUUGUUGGUGGGGUAGUGGCUUACCAAGGCUUUGACGGGUAGCCGGCCUGAGAGGGUGACCGGCCACAUUGGGAAUGAGAUACGGCACAGACUCCUACGGGAGGCAGCAGUGGGGAAUAUUGCACAAUGGGCGGAAGCCUGAUGCAGCAACGCCGCGUGCGGGAUGACGGACUUCGGGUUGUAAACCGCUUUCGCCUGUGACGAAGAGUGAGUGACGGUAAUGGGUAAAGAAGCACCGGCUAACUACGUG
rnacentral:rRNA from 1 species